rnacentral:rRNA from 1 species
AGUGAACGCUGGCGGUAGGCCUAACACGUGCAAGUCGAACGGCAGCACAGUAAGAGCUUGCUCUUACGGGUGGCGAGUGGCGGACGGGUGAGGAAUACAUCGGAAUCUACUUUUUCGUGGGGGAUAACGUAGGGAAACUUACGCUAAUACCGCAUACGACCUACGGGUGAAAGCAGGGGAUCUUCGGACCUUGCGCGAUUGAAUGAGCCGAUGUCGGAUUAGCUAGUUGGCGGGGUAAAGGCCCACCAAGGCGACGAUCCGUAGCUGGUCUGAGAGGAUGAUCAGCCACACUGGAACUGAGACACGGUCCAGACUCCUACGGGAGGCAGCAGUGGGGAAUAUUGGACAAUGGGCGCAAGCCUGAUCCAGCCAUACCGCGUUGGUGAAGAAGGCCUUCGGGUUGUAAAGCCCUUUUGUUGGGAAAGAAAAGCAGCAGGUUAAUACCCCGCUGUUCUGACGGUACCCAAAGAAUAAGCACCGGCUAACUUCGUG